UGCUUCAAGCACAUCAGGGUGCUUUCCACUUCUGGAUGAGCCAAGUGUUUCCUCAGCUUUUCUGCACCUUCCUCUCCAUUGACCUAGAGUGUCUAUGGAACACUCAGAGUGUCCCCUGUGUAAACCACCUACCACAAGAUUAUCAACUUCAGGCAAUGGACCACGCACCAGGAUUCCACCUCUUUCUAGCACCUAUCAGUGUUGCGCACAUCAUAGGCCCUCAACAAACAGUGUCCUUGUCUGGCUUCAAUAUCAGGGUAAUGCUGGCCUCAUAAAAACAGUUUGUAAGUAUUUCCUCCUUUUAAAUUCUUUGGAAGAGUUUGAGAAGGAGUGGUAUUAGUUCUUCUUUACAUGUUUCAUAGA
rnacentral:lncRNA from 10 species